rnacentral:siRNA from 1 species
AAUCCUACAAUUUGGUCUCAUG